GGCUGGGCGAGGCAGAGCCGGGGCAUCCCUUGGAAGUGGACUGUGCGUGCCCCCCGACCCGGCUCGCAGUGGGGUCAAACCCCUCCGAGGACGGGCUCCUCUCCCCUUUUUUCCUUCCUCCACCCCGUGCCGGGAGCCUGCACGGGGCUUUGCUCGCCGCGGGGCGGAGAAAAUCCGUCUGACUCGUCAGUCAGAACGGAGAAUCGAGAAGUUCAAUCCCGGCGCGCCCAGAGGAGCCGGCGAGUUCCUGCCCGCUGUCACCGCUGGCGUUCCGGAGGACGGACGGACUGACAGACUGACGGCAGGCAGCGAGCCAUGAAGUUCUGGCUCCAGAGUUAUCUUGCAUCCCGUGGCGUUGCGCUGCGGGGGCGAGCAUGAAGGAGCAGUACAGUGAUGUGCAGCACUGGAAACCAACAUCAACUUCAAUAAACCAUGUAAUGGAGGCAGUUCUGGAUUUCUGAAAGGGCUCAGAGUAUCUGCAGUAGUGAAUGUUAUCUGGUGGUGGAUGUGGACUUUAAAACAGUGUGUCUCAACAUCUCAUCCUCAACUAUUUUUAAUCUGAUUGCACUACGAAAGAAAAGCUGCUA